UCCUCUUUGCACAGUUUUUUUUUUUUUACUUUUUCCGUUUCUACAUUAACCAUCACCAUCCAGAUAAUAACUCACCAAGAACGUUUAUAUUUGUUUAUAUCAGCAUUGGCCAUCCACAUGGGCAGGGACUUGAGUCGGUUUUGACAGUGUUGCUCGGUUGAAAACGAAAUUGUCGAUCUCUGUUCCGGCUGCGUCUCUUCAACUCUAACAAUAGAGCUACUAAUAGCCACGUCUGUCUAUUCCUUUUUUUUUUUUUUUAAACUAGAGGCCACAUACUAAGAGUGUCUAGGAACCACACAAGACCUGGAAACAGAAGAUGCUUUAGCCCAGAACAGAGAUAAACCAUAUCCAAAGUGAAUUAUUUCCUCUGCCUGAGUAAUGGGCCCAUCCCUUGGCACCAUGGCCCUAUAAAACUGAACAAAUAUUUAUCUUUGACAUCAGAAGAAGUCAGUUAAGCAAGCGACGUUUCAUAAUGAAUGCAAUGAAAGACUUCCUUCCUUUAUUUACUCUGGAUAAUUUAUUAAAUUUUAGUAUGGGUUCAUUCUUCCAGACAUAGAGGCAUUGUUUGCUAGAAGGUCAGCAUUCAUUGUACCUCUGCCUAGUCCUGCGUAUUAGCUCUAAUCUUAGUUAUUUCUGUGUGCCAGUAUGCUAUUUGACAGUGUAAUAAAGGUCUCCUUGGCAGGGCAUUUUCUUCAGACCAGCUAAUCAGAUCAGCUAUAGUAAUACGGGCUAAGCUCCAUUAUAUGUGAUGUGUUAGGGUCGCACCUGUGCUCCUUCUAAUGCGUUCCUCAGCUCCACAUGAAACAUGGAAUGGCUAUGUCACCCAGUAGCCCAGUAAGCAUCCAGUGCAAAGGAGAACCCCAGGCCAUUCCAACAUCCAUCUGAAUUCAGAAACAGUGGAUUGAAAGCCGGACGUGUCGGGGCACAACUGUGAUCCCAGCACUGGGGAGGUUGAAGCAGAAGGAUAUGGUAAGUUAUAGGCCUCCCUGAAUGAUAUAGUGAGCUCCGGACUAGCCUGGGCUAUAGAGACCCUGUCUUAACAACAACAAUAAAAAACUAAAACAAAACAAAACAAGAGACUAUAAGAAAUGAUUGAGCAGUCUUUUUAUGGAAAAAGAAUUAUUUAUUUUAUGUAUUGGAGUCACUGUAGCUGUCUGAAAUCAAAAGACGGCAUAGCAUCUCAUUACACAUUGUGCGAGCUACCAUGUGGUUGCUAGGAAAUGAACUCAGGACCUCUAGAAGAGCAGUCAGUGCUCUUAACCACUAAGCCAUCUCUCCAGCCCAUGACCACUCUUAUUUUACAUUUUGUAGAAACUGAGGCCAGAGAUGGUGCCACAUUCAAGAUGACAGAGGGACUAAAGGUCCAGUCUGCAACCCCUAAUGUAGGAAUCACUAUAAAUAGAACAAUACUCUGACCUCACCUCUGUUUUCUGCAUUACUCCCCUUUGAACGUCGUACUAUUCCUUAAAUAAUAAUCUUUGGUUUGCAAACUGUGGACCCAGAAGCUACCCCAUUUUUACAAUGACAAACCAGUACUGCUUGCAAUUACAGAUGUUGACAGCAGUGCCCCACAGAGCCUCCUGCCAUCCAGUGCAAGUGGCAGUCGUUCCUGGCACGUCCUUUUACUGGGCAGUUUAUACUGUACACAUCACAUCGUUCUUAAUCACAUGGGCUCUUUCCUUCCCCCGUCGGUGCUGGGAAUGAGUCAGAGAUGACGGUACUUCAGCUGCCCUUGUACAGUUGAAGUAACAGGCUAGCUGAUGUUUCCAAUGGCGUACAAUUUAUAAGUGGUGGAAACGGGACUCAAACCCAGGUCUUCUGUCUCUGAAUUGGAAUAAAUACUCUAAAAGUGAAUGGAAAUUUGAGUUGAUUUUUUUUUCUCUUCCAGCAGGCAUGAGCAAAAAAAAAAAAAGGUAGAUACAAAACUGCAGAAAUUGCUGCUGUAGUUCCCGCCCGACAUCCACCGGGUCAUCUGUGGAUUCUAGGCUUCCAUAACUAAAAACUCAGGGCCAACCUGCCCACUGCCUCUCUGCCGACCUCCACGGAGUUCCUCCCACUUCUCUUGAUUCUGAACUCUGCAGCUUUAAAAAGAACAUUUAUUGUAUUCUGUGGAUGUGAGUGUUUUUAUUCAUUAGUACAGUUGUGUGCCACAUGCAUACAGUGCCUGGGGAAGCCAGUAGAGGGUGCUGGAUGCCUUGGGACUGGAGUUACAGACAGUGUGAGCAGCCAUGUGGGUGCUGGGGAUUGAACUUAGGUCCUCUGGAAGAUCACCUCUCAACCAUUGAGUCAUUGCUCCAGCACCUUCCUUCCACAGGCUUUGCUUUACUCUGAGUAAUGAUGGCUCCCGUGGUGGUUUGAAUAGGAAUGGCUUCCACAGGCUGUAGUUGUCAUUAGGGAGUAACACUACUUGAUAAGGAUUGGGAGGUGUGGCCUUGUCAGAAUGGGUGUGGCGUCGUUGGAGGAAAUUUGUCACCAGAUGUGGCCUCUAGGGUUUCAAAUGCUCAAGCCAGGCCCCAGUCUCUCUCUCUCUCUCCCUCUCUCUCUCUGCUACCUCUUCAGUACCGUGUCUGCCUAAGUACCACCAUGCUUCCAGCAAUGUAAGCAAGCCGUACACUUACGUUAAAUGCUUCCCUUCGUAAGAGUUGCCAUGGUCGUGAUGUCUCUUCACCACAAUAGAACACUGACUAAGACAGUUCCUGUCUCCUGUUAUCAGGAUAGCAAACUGGCCUAACCAAAAGGAAUGUGUGAUUCUUCCCUGACAGCUUGACUAAAUAAGUCUCUGUGACUGUAGAUGGGCAAAGAGAGACAUUUUUGAGACGAUAAAGCUGUUUUAAAACUAGGUGGGUGUGACACUCUGUAAAUUAACUAAAAAUGUUGACUUCUUUACAAACACCCCAACCUAUACUUUUUUGAACCCUGAGAGUGUCAUACAUUCUGUAGGAACCAUACUUCAGAUUUUGAAUUUUGAGCUUUUCUGAGCAGUAGCACUCUGGAGGUGCUGGGUGUUAGCUUCGCGCAGCAAUUCCAGUCAGCCACCAGAGGAGGAGGGAAAACAGACCCUGCGGUGACUCGGGGCUGAGCUGCAUCCUGUCUGCAGGCUAGUGUAUUCACAGCAUUUUCAGCCAAGGAUGGUUUCAACUCGCAAUCAGCGUACGGGGAGAAGGGGCUCAUGGGAAGGAGCCCUGAGCUUCAGUGGGUUCAUUUUGCAGCGUACGCAUUAUACUUCCACAGAAACCCUUAAAAGUUUCCACGUGCAUCUCUGACUCUGAUGGGGUCACGUGCCUUUUCCCCCACCUAUCACUGGGCCAAAAGAAUGUGAUAGAAGGAUUGACUGAGCCCAAUGGCCACAGCCCACUCCUGGAAGGCAGGGAUGACAUCAGUUUCCUCUAAACUUUCUAAAGCCCCAUGACUGGGAGUGGGAAGGGCGUGGAUCCCUGUUUGAAAUUAGGUGAGUAGAUGUUACUCCUUAAGGCCCAAGGACCAAAGUUGACCUUUGACUAAUACAGGCUUCUAGAGCCUCUCUAAACACACGUGGGUCUGCUCUAAGCCGCACAGACACACUGCUCUCCCGGGAGGCCUAAGCUCUGCUUUACUCUGGAGGCAGGUCACAAAGCAAAGCAGAAGGCAGUGGAAAUUGGUCUGGACUCUUAUUGUAGAAAACAGUGAGAACGUCAUUAGGUGUGCUAGCAUGGAAGGGAAAAAAUGUCACAGGGUCUCAACCCCAGGCAAAGAGCGACAGGCAUCUAAGGAAUGAAUGCCAGAAGAGGAAGAUGGAGUCCUUUCCGGGGAAGAGUCCUCAAACUGUUAGCCACUGUCAAAUGGUCAGCCCGAAA
rnacentral:sRNA from 1 species